rnacentral:rRNA from 1 species
CCUACGGGCGGCAGCAGUGGGGAAUAUUGGACAAUGGGCGAAAGCCUGAUCCAGCCAUGCCGCGUGUGUGAAGAAGGCCUUCGGGUUGUAAAGCACUUUCAGUGGGGAAGAAAGCCUUGGGGCUAAUACCCUCGAGGAAGGACAUCACCCACAGAAGAAGCACCGGCUAACUCCGUGCCAGCAGCCGCGGUAAUACGGAGGGUGCGAGCGUUAAUCGGAAUUACUGGGCGUAAAGCGCGCGUAGGCGGUCUGAUAAGCCGGUUGUGAAAGCCCCGGGCUCAACCUGGGAACGGCAUCCGGAACUGUCAGGCUAGAGUGCAGGAGAGGAAGGUAGAAUUCCCGGUGUAGCGGUGAAAUGCGUAGAGAUCGGGAGGAAUACCAGUGGCGAAGGCGGCCUUCUGGACUGACACUGACGCUGAGGUGCGAAAGCGUGGGUAGCAAACAGGAUUAGAUACCCUGGUAUC